GCCCUCUGGUUUUCCUCUCUUCGCCUCGGUGUCCAUCUCCAAGCGCCUCGCCUCUCCUGUCCUUGUCUUGCCCUUCGUCGCCUCGGCGCGGCCGCCAUCCGUCGCUCGGGCGGGGGCCUCGGCGCGCUCGUGUUUUACGUCACUUCCUUCUCUAUAUACUACGUUUCGAUUUCGAGGCGGGUCGGCUUCUUCUUCACCGGUUGAUUUGUUCCGCUGCUUUGCGCCUCCGUGCUCUCGCAGAUCCCUUGGGGCCGUCUCGCCUCCGCGCGACGCCGGCAGCGAGCUGAGUUUGGUUUCGCCGGGUUGCUCGGUUUGCGGUUUAUUCUUCCCGCGAUUUUAGUUUUUGCGUCGAUCCUGUUUCGUCCUCGCCUUCUCAGCGUGUGGGUUGCAGGAUUUUGGGUCCGAUCCGGUCUUAGGCGUUCGUCAUGGCGUCGUGUGGCGAGGAGAUGGAGGCAGGUCAGUCUUCUGUCAGAUCCGGCGGUUCAUUGGUUAUCGAGAGAUUAGUUGAAGGGUGUAGGUUUGCUUAUGGUUCAUUCCUCGUUUUGGUUCAUUCCUCGUUUUUCGUUUUGAUGUCACCAUAUUGGUGUGAAGAUUGCCACCGGACUUUUACUAUAAGGUUGUUGAUCCUUCAUUGGAGAUGCUGCUGGCUGGAUCUGCAGGGGCAACAAAGUUUUGGAAGUAGAUUGAGGCGUUGACUGGACUGAUGUUCAUAGUAUCGGGAGAAGAUCGUUCGGAUAUAUAUAUUUACCUAAAUCGCUCAUCUGUUAGUUCAUACUCAUUUUUUGUCCGCUGCAAUUCUUAAUUGCUUAAAUUGGGGCUGGUGGUUUUCUCCAGCAACUCGAUUGAAUGGAUGGAUGGGUCGGAGGCGAGUUUGAUCCUGCUUCUCCUUGUGCAAUCAGGAGUUCGGAACUGUUUAGAGUUCCUUGCGUUUGUUCACUAACCAUCCUCUCUCCUGUCUUCCUUCAAAAAUUGGCAUUAUAAGCUUGAUUACCCUUCAUUGGAAAUUCUGCUUGCUGGAUCUGCAGGGGCAGAAGAGUUUUGGAACUAGAUUGAGGCGUUAACUGGACUGAUGUUCAUAGUAUCGGGAGAAGAUCGUUCGGAUAUAUCUACCUAAAUCGCUCUUCUACUAUUGGUUCAUAUUUAAUUUCUGUCCGCUGCAAUUUUUAGUUAAUUAUAUUGGGGCUGAUGGUUUUCUCCAGCAACAAGAUUAUUAUAUGGAUGGAUGGAUGGAUGGUGUUCAAGCGCCUUGCCUGUCCUGUCUUGCCCUUUGUCCCUUCGUCGCCUCGGGCCUCGGCGUGCUCGCAUUUUCCAUUACUUCGUUUCGAUUUUGAGCCGGGUAUCAUCUUCACCUGUUGUUUUGUUCCGCUGCUUUGCGCCUCCGUGCUCCCGCAGAUCCCUUUGGGCCGUUUCGCCUCCGCGCGACGCUGGGAGCGAGCUGAGUAUGGUUUGGCUGGGUUGUUCAGUUUGCGGUGUAUUCUUCCUGCAAUUCUAGUUUUCGUGUUGAUUCGGUAUCGUCCUCGACUUCUCAGCGUGUGGGUUGCAGGAUUGGGUCCGAUCGGUGUUGUGAGAGUUCGUCAUGAUGGCGUGUGGCGAGGAGAUACAGGCAGGUCAGUCUUCUGUCAGAUCCGACGUUAAUUGGUUUUGUUGAUUGGACAUGGAUUGAUGAUUUCUCAGGCUCAAAUGUAUCCGGGUGUGGUACCAUCAGAACCUCUCGUAGCCUGCACACCAACUGGAUUCGGCCCGUUCUUAUUUUAAUUGCUGAUCUCGCUUGUGUCCUUUUUGGUGUUAGUCGUCCUGACUUCAGAAGCAGAAGAAAGGGUCCAGCGCUGGUUACGGAGAUAUUAGUUGAAGGGUUGAGGUUUUCUUAUGGUUCAUUCAUUGUUUUUCGUUUGAUGUCGUCAUAUUGGUGUGAAGAUCGCAACCGGACUUACUAUAAGCUUGUUUGCACUUCAUUGGAAAUGCUGCUGGCUGGAUCUGCGGGGGCAACAGAGUUUUGGAAGUUGAUUGAGGUGUUGACUGGACCGGUGUAUCAGGAAAAGAUCGUUGGGAUAUACAUACCAAAAUUGCUUUUGUAUUGGUUCGUCUUCAGUUUCUGUGCGCUGCAAUUCUUUGUUUCUUAUAUUGGGGCCGGUGGUUUUCUCCAGCAAGAUUAUAUGGAUGGAUGGGGUUGGAGGCGUGUUUGAUCUGGCUUGUGCUUGUGCAAUCAGAAGUUAGGAACUGUUCAGAGUUCCUUGUUUGUUCACUAACCAUCCUCUCUCCUGCCGUUCUUCGAAAAUUGACACUAUAAGCAUGAUUACCCUUCAUUGGAAAUGCUGUUUGCUGGAUCUGCAGGGGCAACAUAGUUUUCGAAGUAGAUUGUGGCAUUGACUGGAUUGAUGCCAUAGACCAUAGUACCGGGAGAAGAUUGUUAGGAUACAUCUACCUAGUCGUAAAUCGCUCUUCUAUUGGUUUAUGGUUUAUACUCAUUUUCUGCCGGCUACAAUUCUUAAAUGUUUUAAAUUGGGGUUGGUGGGUUUCUCCAGCAACUUGAUUAUAUGGAUGGAUGGGUGGGUGGGUUGGAGGCGAGUUCGACCCUGCUUCUGCUUCUGCAAUCAGAAGAUUUGAACUGUUCAGAGUUACUUGUUUGUGUUCACUAACUAUCCUCUCUGCCAAUCUUCUUUGAAAAUUGGCUUUCCUCAAAGGUUUCCCUUCGUUAGUAAAUCUGCAGUUUUAGGAGACACCACUAGAGUUCGUCCUCAUAGAUACAAAAGGACAUUGCUGGUUAUGGAGAGGUCAGUUGAAGGCUGGAGGUUUGACUAUGUUCGUUGUUUUUUUAUAUGUUAUAUAUGGCUGUUCUGAUGUCACUUAAUGGUGGGUGAAGUUUGCCACCGGACUAAUUUGAAGUUUGAUUGCCCUUAAUUAGAAAAAUGUGGUUAGCUGGAUCAGGUGAUGUUUUGGAGGAAUAGAGGUAGAUUUAAGCAUUUUGGAGGUGGAUUGAAGCUUUGACUGGACUCCAAGUUCAUUGCAUCUGGAGAACAUCGUUUGGCUCUGCCUCUCUUUUAUUGGUGCUCCUAAAUUUCUUGUUCCUUACAUUUGGGAUGGCGGUUCUCUACUUCUGUUUCUGCAUGAGUUAGAUUCUGUUUCUGCAUGAGCAAUAAGUUCUGAAUUGUUCAGGAUUCCCUUCGUUUGCUGUCAAUGUUCUUCGAAAAUUUUACUGUCAAUGUUCUUCUGAAAAGUUAGCUGUCCGUUUCUGCAGAUGCACACAAGCUGAGAUAGAAUUUCCAACAAUUGGUGUUGUCUCCAGAGCCCAUCCUUGUUCCACUGGCCAUUUGGUUCGCCUUGGAUUUGAAGGUUCAUUAAGUAUAUCCUUGAGCCAAAAUAGAAAAAAAAAAUCAUAGAAGAGCUCUUUGGUAUCCAGAGAAAACCCUCCGAGUAGUGUGCAACUGUGCAUUAAUGUGAAGUUUGAUAACUUGGACUGACAUGUUGUUUUCAUGCUCUGCGGUAGUUUGCGCUAACUACUCUGACUAUUCCAGUUCCCUUGUUUUGUUUGAGACAUCUUAAUAUUCUUCAAUCUAACCAGAGUUCACCUAAAACUUUUGCUCAUAUCAGCCAUUUAUUUUGGAUCCAGUUGUCUGAUUUAAGUUGAUGGAUGUUUGGUUGGAUUUCUGCAGUUGGAGCUAAGGUUCACUAUUAUUGUUGAUUUCGGGUUUAAGGAUAUUCUGAAAACAAUGGUUCCUAAUAGAAGAUUAACUAUGGCAUGUUUUGGUUUGAGUCCGGCCAUUCCAUGAUUUUUAUUAGAGCUGAUCUUGUGGCAAUUGAGCAUCUUCUGCCUAGGCCAAAUUGGAUGGAUUCCUAGUUUUAUUGGCAAACAUAACUGUGGCAUGUUUUGAGUCCGAUCAUGCAAUGAUUUUUAUUGGAGCAUCUUCUGCCAAAUAGAUGGAAGACUCACUAGUUUUGUUGGACGAAAUUAACUGGAAGCUUGUGAUGUUUUACAAUUGGCACACGUUGAAUGUUCAGUCCUGUGACUAAAUAAAAUACUCUAGAUACCUGCUCCUGCUCGUACUAGGUUUACUUAUUGAUUGUUGCAGCGAAGUUAUUUACUGUUUUUUACGUAGCGUCUUUGUUGUAGAAUACUUCGUUUGGCACAAAAACCGGUUACGUUGUUUGUUUCUUUUUAUAAUGCUGAGAACAUGAUAUUUUUUUUGUUGGGUAUUAUAUGUGUUCUGAUUAUUUGUUUGUU